rnacentral:rRNA from 1 species
CCUACGGGAGGCAGCAGUGGGGAAUAUUGGGCAAUGGAGGAAACUCUGACCCAGCGACGCCGCGUGAGGGAUGAAGGCCUUCGGGUUGUAAACCUCUUUCAGUAGGGAAGAAGCGAAAGUGACGGUACCUACAGAAGAAGCACCGGCUAACUAUGUGCCAGCAGCCGCGGUGAUACAUAGGGUGCAAGCGUUGUCCGGAAUUAUUGGGCGUAAAGAGCUCGUAGGUGGUUCGAUACGUCGGAUGUGAAAAUCAGGGGCUCAACCCCUGACCUGCAUCCGAUACGGUCGAGCUAGAGUUUGGUAGGGGAGACUGGAAUUCCUGGUGUAGCGGUGGAAUGCGCAGAUAUCAGGAGGAACACCGAUGGCGAAGGCAGGUCUCUGGGCCAAUACUGACACUGAGGAGCGAAAGCGUGGGGAGCGAACAGGAUUAGAUACCCUGGUAGUCCACGCCGUAAACGGUGGGCGCUAGUUGUGCGAACCUUCCACGGUUUGUGCGACGCAGCUAACGCAUUAAGCGCCCCGCCUGGGGAGUACGAUCGCAAGNUUAAAACUCAAAGGAAUUGACGG